GCUGCGCGAAGCCAGCGGUUGUUGACAGGCCGUGGAGUCGGCUGGCGGGGAGCUGAGGCGUUAUCUACCAUGCCUGAGUGGGCGAGCUGCCCUGGGCCGAGGCCUCUGGGCUGGGGUUGAAAGAAGCUGAUCAGAUGCAGAGUCUGGAGGGCUCGGGGACCGGGCGGUCAGUCGGGACGCAGACUGGCAGCAUGACGGGUCAAAUACCAAGGCUUUCUAAAGUCAACCUUUUCACUCUGCUCAGUCUCUGGAUGGAGCUCUUCCCAGGAGUAGAAGCCCAAGGGCAAAAGUCUCAGAAAAACGAAGAGGAAAACCGUGGCCCCUUAGGAGAUAAUGAAGAGUUGGCCAGACCGGUAUCUGCUGACAAAAAACAGGUGAAGAAAACUGGUCUUGUGGUGGUGAAAAACAUGAAAAUCAUUGGUCUUCACUGCUCUAGUGAAGACUUACAUACUGGGCAAAUUGCUCUUAUCAAACACGGGUCCAGGCUGAAAAACUGUGACCUCUAUUUUUCAAGAAAACCAUGUUCUGCUUGUUUGAAAAUGAUUGUGAAUGCUGGAGUUAACCGAAUUUCUUACUGGCCUUCUGACCCAGAAAUAAGUUUGCUCACCGAGGCUUCUAGCUCUGAAGAUGCAAAGCUGGAUGCCAAAGCAGCAGAAAGGUUGAAGUCAAACAGCCGGGCCCAUGUGUGUGUGUUACUGCAGCCGCUGGUGUGUUACAUGGUGCAGUUUGUAGAGGAAUCCUCUUACAAGUGUGACUUUAUCCAAAAGACUGCAAGAGCACUGCAGGGCGCGGACCCUGAUUUCUAUUCUGAGUGUAAACAAGAAAGAAUAAAAGAAUUUGAAAUGUUAUUUUUGGUUUCAAAUGAAGACAUGCAUAAGCAGAUACUGAUGACCAUAGGUCUGGAGAACCUGUGUGAAAACCCCUAUUUUAGCAAUCUAAGGCAAAGCAUGAAAGACCUGGUUCUACUUUUGGCCACAGUAGCUUCCAGUGUGCCCAACUUGAAACACUUCGGAUUCUACUGUAGCAACCCAGAACAGAUUACUGACAGUCACAACCAAAGCUUGCCGCAGGAAGUUGCAAGGCACUGCAUGGUGCAGGCCAGGCUAUUGGCAUACCGAACUGAGGAUCAUAAAACGGGAGUUGGAGCUGUCAUUUGGGCAGAAGGGAAAGCUAGAAGCUGUGAUGGAACUGGAGCUAUGUACUUCGUAGGAUGCGGCUACAAUGCCUUUCCUGUCGGCUCUGAGUAUGCUGAUUUCCCCCACAUGGAUGACAAGCACAAGGACAGAGAAAUACGGAAGUUCAGAUACAUCAUACAUGCCGAGCAGAAUGCUUUGACAUUUAGGUGUCAAGAUAUAAAGCCAGAAGAACGCAGCAUGAUUUUUGUGACAAAAUGCCCUUGUGAUGAAUGUGUGCCUUUAAUUAAAGGUGCAGGCAUAAAGCAGAUCUAUGCUGGGGAUGUCGAUGUGGGGAAAAAGAAAGCAGACAUCUCUUACAUGAAGUUUGGGGAGCUUGAGGGUGUUCGCAAAUUUACAUGGCAGUUGAAUCCAUCUGAAGCUUACAGUUUUGAUCCAAAUGAGCCUGAAAGGAGAGAAAACAUUAAGAGCAUCUGUCCAUCAAGAGAUCCCACUGAGAGGGUGCAAAGGCAAGCCACGGAACAGAAGACCUGUGCCACUUAAAUCAGCUAAGGGCCUGUGUGCAGCAUUCCCCACGCCUGCGUCUCAGAAGGAGGAGGACACGCCUGCGGGCGACAUCGUGAGAGGACAAGAAAGGCUGCUGGUUAUCAGACGGUGUAUUGAGGCGCAGGUCUACACAGGAAGAACAGCGCAGCAGCAAGAGGCCGCGUCUGGAAACCAGCUCUGCAGGCUGGGCUACACUGCAGUAAAAUGCGUGCUUUCUAACCACACCUCUCCAGUUCAGCCUGUGGCCUUGGGAAUGACUGAGAAACCUGUACGGAGCUGAAUUCUAGUUAGCCUAUGAGCGAUCUUACCAAGGACCUUUCUUUUAGAUGUGUAUCUCAGCACGCAGUGUAUACUUUCUUUACAUUAAAUGCUGUAGCAAUAGUUUGAGACCAGUAUAAGAUCAAUAGGACCUGUUGCUGUUUAUCCGGACUCUGUGGAGCCAGUUUCCAAAGGACUUUUUCACAGGAGGGGAAUCUUCUUUUGACAAAUAGUAAUUCCUUUGGUUGGAUUCAAGGAUAAUGAUCAAUAAACUGCUCCAGGAAAUAAAAUGGCAUGGUCAUCUUUUACAACUCCGUGUACAGCUAACCAAACAGCUGCAUUAUACUAAGUCCAGCUAGCCAGAAGUUGCUGCGGUAGGAUCGGCUCUAGGUUGCUGUGCCCCUCCUUCAUUUGGAGUGUGUUUUGUAAGUGGCCUGGGGAUUAGACCAGUGGAGCAGUGCCGUGAGAGCAUGCACAAGGUCCCGAGUUUCUUCCUUAGCACCACAAAGCUAAUAAAUCGUCAAAUGCACCUAAA